ACAUCGCCGACGUGGGUCAAAGUGCAGCAUUUGUUCUUAUCAGCUUAUUAUCUGAUAUGGGUUGUAGUUGGACCAAAGAUAAUAAACUUAUUUUUGCAAGUUGGCGGAGUGCUUGAAGCCUGCUUCACCUCCGCCGCGGGUCAGCCCGGUAUUGCACAAUCUUCGGGAUCGGCCCACAGUUC
rnacentral:snRNA from 1 species